CGGAUAUCAAUCAAAACAUUUGUUCUGCACAGUUUAGAUGCGGAGAUAUCAGGUUUCAAAUAGCAAGAGACUUUUCAAGAAGUGCGUGUGCUCUUUGCCACGUAUUCCAAGUGACGUUCUCAGAGAAGCUGCAUACUGAAUUAUUUUUAACAUCAGACAUCCGGUUGAAGAAGUAACACUAAAAGAGACAAAAUGAACUUUUUAGUCUGCUUUUGUUUAAUCGGACUUUUGUCUUCUGUUGUAAUUAAAUGUUCUGAUGUCGGUAAGCAAAUUUUAAUUAUGUCGAAUGUUGGAUAAUUUUAUUAAUGCAUGAAAUUUGUUUAUUACUGGAUCAUACACUUUUGUAAAUUAUACAUUUCCACAUUAACCUUAAACAAGACCUGUCAAAAAGAAACUUGAUAAAAAAAAUCUUUCUGUAUUUAUCCCCCUUUACAUUUCUCCAGCUUUAGAUUCAUUUCCAUUGAGAAGUGUUAUUCAAGAUUGCAAUUUAUUAUUUAAUUUAUUGUCAUCCUAUUUUAAGGCACAGUCAGACAAUAUUUAUGAAAUAUACAAACGUUCAAAUGAAAACCAUGAACAUUUUUAUAAGGCAGUGGCUAUUUGACCGGCACCGACAAAAUAGAAAAAAUGCUAUUUUGCGGGCUCUGAUUAAAUUAUACCUUACUGGAAUUAAAUUGAUUGAUUGAUUGUUGUUUGCUUUACCCCGCAUAAUAGCAUGUAUAUAAUAUAACUGAUUUAUAAUGGCCCACAAAUAAAUUAUUGUCUUGUCAUUUAAAAAAAAAUAUCAUAUGAACAUUAGGGGGGGUAGGAGGGGUCCUGAUCCCGAAAUCCCGGGCUUAAAAACACGAAAUUCCGAGGUCCCGAUUAAAAAAAAUCUAAAUCCCGAAGUCCCGAAAUUAGAAAAAAAGAAUUCCCGGAUCCCGAAAGGGUCAAUCCCGAAAUCCCGAGCUUAAAAACACCCGAUCCCGGAGUCCCGAUAAAGGUCCUAUCCCCCCUCAACAUUGAUGAACAUGAUGAAAAGUCAGCUCACAGACAGCCUCAGACAAACAGUAUUGAUAUACCUGAUUAGUAGUUAUGUAACAGUGGUUUGAUUCCGCCAGUGUACUUUAUCUGGAGGAUGAAAAUCCCUAGUGUUUUUUAUCCACCAACAAAAAUUCACUAGGGUUUUUCAUUCGGGUCCAGUGUGAAAUAUCCACCACUCUUGAUAAGAUUCUAAAAUUCGUUUUUUGAAAGGGAAAUAUAUAAAAAAUGGGGCUUGUUAUUUUUUAGGGGUAUUUGAAUUAACUAAAACUUGCAUAGCUUUGCAUUCAUCCAUGAAAUGAUGAAAUGUUCACUCAAAUGUUUUGAACCAGGAAUGAUACCACUAGUGAUUUUGAACCAGGAAUUAUUAAACUUGUAAAUCUGUAACUGGAAUGAUAUCGCACUUAAGUUACUUUGAGCCAGGAUUAGUACAUUUUGUAUUUAAGAUUCAUACAUUGAUGAAGUGUUUUAGUACUCACUUUGAACACAUGAUAACACAUUAUAUAUAUCAUGUAUAUAAUGCUUUAUUUACGAAUUAAAUUUUUAUAAUUUUUCUCUUUAAAUCCAUCAAAUCAUAUGGUUUUAAAUUUUUACUAAUUGUAAUAUUCAUAUAUACUGGAUUGCCAAAUUUUUUCUGUACAUUUGCGUUUUGGUAGACUUCGAUUAAAAUCAUGUCUUCUAUGCCAAUAUCUAUUAAUCAAACUGGUUCCUUCAAAACUAUUCUAAUUUUAACCUAUUAAUUUAUGUAAAAAUUAAACUGGUCUAAUAUAAACAAAACAAUGAUAUCAAGAUCAAUGCUUUCAAUCUAUUUACAACCAAUAUUCUUUAGUGAAAGACAGUUACCCGGAAUGAAAACAGGGUGGAAUGAAAUUACGCUUACAUUACCAGUAAUACUUUUAAAACAUAUUUUGUAAUUCAAUUGGAACAGAUUCAAAACAUUUUUUUAAUUUUAAGCCAUAUUUGGCUCAACUUUUCCAAAGUUUUGCCUUUAUUGGCUUUAAAUAUAACAUUUUGUUUCAUUCUACCUUUUUUAAUUUGAACACAAUUGAUGAGUGUUAUGUAUUCAUAUGUGUUUGGUUAAACAAAUUAAAAAUCUGGUAUUCUUUGAUUAAGGUCAUAUGCUAUUCUUUUAUCAUGUUUAAAAAUGGUCUCAUGCUUGCACGACUGACAAAAAGAAUUUUAACCAUAUAACGCUACAAUGUGUGCAAGUUGUACACAAUAUCAUGUUAAUGGAUAGUUUCAUUACUUUAUCUACUAUAUGACUUUUUUUAAAGAGUUACUGGCAGUUACAAUAGCUACCGAUGAAACUGAUGGCUUUACAAGAUAUGCUGAAUCAGCAGACAGAUAUGGAAUUAAACAUAAGGUAAUGAAUGCACAUGUAUACAAAUUAUUUAGUAAGAAAGGAGAACAUCUAAUUAACAAGACAACAUCUUAAAAAGUUAUUUAAAUUUAAGGAUGUGGUCCAACAUCCCAUCCUUGCAUUCCAUAAGUCUUUAAGGGAGAUCAAGAUGGUUUGUUAAAAAAAUGUAAGAGCAAAUGUCUGAGCUGGAGAUUUAUAAAUUUUUAGUAGACAUUUGAACAUUCAAUAAUGUAUUAUUAAAAAGAUUGGCCAAUGUGUUCUCAAAUCUCAAGCAGAUUUCCAGGAUUGUAGGUACAAUUUAAGCCUUACCAGUUGACUAUACAUUUUUUUUAGUUUUACAUGUCCCUCAGGCAUUGUCAGGAAAAGUGGAAGUUCCGCAU
rnacentral:lncRNA from 1 species